AUACGUAGGGGGCGAGCGUUGUCCGGAAUGAUUGGGCGUAAAGGGCGCGUAGGCGGCCCGGUAAGUCUGGAGUGAAAGUCCUGUUUUUAAGAUGGGAAUUGCUUUGGAUACUGUCGGGCUUGAGUGCAGGAGAGGUAAGUGGAAUUCCCAGUGUAGCGGUGAAAUGCGUAGAGAUUGGGAGGAACACCAGUGGCGAAGGCGGGUAACUGGACUGCAACUGACGCUGAGGCGCGAAAGUGUGGGGAGCAAACAGGAUUAGAUACCCUGGUAGUCCACACUGUAAACGAUGAAUGUUAGGUGUAAGAGGUAUCGACCCCUUUUGUGCCGGAGUUAACACAAUAAGCAUUCCGCCUGGGGAGUACGGCAGCAAGGUUGAAACUCAAAUGAAUUGACGGGG
rnacentral:rRNA from 1 species